rnacentral:lncRNA from 1 species
GGGAAGACUUGAAUAACUUGAAGUCAUGCAAUUUUAAAACUGUCAUGUUUGCUUCAAAGGAAAUCAAUUAUCCUGAAAAUGAUGCACCCAUUUUGUCAAUAUGACUGCACCUGUUGAAGAUGAUUUUAAAACUUGGCUCAGUUUUAGAAAACUUUUCAGUCUUGCUGUAUCUACUUUGAAGAUUACAUUUUAUGAAAUUCAAAUGCAGAUUAAAUUUUCUCAAUUCAAAUUUAGCAUUUGGAUUGAAAUGAAAUAUAUAUAUAUAUAUAUAUAUAUAUAUAUGAAAUAUAAACCAGAUCUUAAAAAUCUAAUGCAAGAAGAAAAUAAAAAUCCCAUAAGGAUUAAAAAAGAUGUAUUUGUGUGUGUGUGUGUGUAUCUAUCUAUGUUUUUGUGCACAUGCAUAUAGAUACCCUGAAGGCCAAAAGAGGGAGCAGAAUUUGGGUCUUAUCAAAAAAUAGCAAGCACUCUUAAACACUGAGCCACUAAUAUCAUUUAAUACAAUGUUUAAGAUUUUUUAUGAGUGCUUUGCCCACACAUAUAUGUGUGUGUGUAUAUAUAUAUAUAUGUAUAUAUAUAUAUAUAUAUACACAUAUGUGUAUGUAUUUAUGUACAUCUGUAUAUAUGUGUAUGUAUAUAUAUAUAUGUAUUAUAUAUGUGUGUAUACAUACAUACAUACAUAUAUACAUAUAUACAUACAUACAUACAUACAUACAUACAUACAUACAUGUAAUGUUUGAAUGGCUGGUGCUUGUACAGGGUCAGAGGACAUUUGAUCACCUGCAACUGGAGUUAAAGAUAAUUCUAAACUACCAUGUGGAUUCUUGGAAUACAACCUUGGUCAUCUGCAAGAGCAGCAAGUACACUUAACCACCGAGCCAUGUUUCCAGCUCACUCCUUUAUUUUAAAUUAUGUAAUUAUAUUUUAUUUUAUCUUUUUCAUUUUCUUUUUUAAUUUGUUAGUUUAUUUAUUUACAUUUCAAAUGUUAUCUCCCUUCUCAGUUUACCCUCUGCAAACCCCCUAUCCCAUCUCCCCUCCACCCUGCUUCUGUGAGUCAGCUUCCCCACCCAUCUACCCACCACCCUAGCAUUCCCCUACAUUGAUUGGGGCAUUGAGUCUCCACAGGAUCAAGGGACUCACCUUCCAUUAAUGCCAAAUAAGGCCAUCCUCUGCUACAUAAGCGCUGGAGCCAUGGUUCCCUCCAUGCAUAUUCUUUGGUUUGUGGUUUUGUCCUAGUGAGCUCUGGGGGGUCUGGUUGGUUGAUAUUGUUGUUCUUCCUAUGAGGUUGCAAACCUCUUCAGCUUCUUCUGAACUGACUUCUUCUAACUCCUCCAUUGGGGUCCCAAUGUUCAGGCUAAUGGUUGACAAUGAGCAUCUGCAUCUGCAUUUGUCAGGCUCUGGCAGAACCUCUCAGAGGACAACUAUAUCAGGCUCCUGUCAGCAAGCUUCUUGGCAUCAGCAAUAGUGUCUGGGUUUGGUGUCUGCAGAUGGGAUGGAUCCCUAGGUGGGGUAGUCUCUGAAUGGUCUUUUCUUCAGUCUCUGCUCCAGACUUUGUCCCUGCAUUUCCUUUAGACAGGAGCAAUUUUGUUUUAAUAUUUUUGAGAUGGGGGGGGUGGCCUCAUCCCUCAACUGGAGGCCGUGCUUAACCUCUGAAUAUGGUCUCUACAGGUUCUCUCUUCUCUUGGUUGGGUAUUUCAGCUAAUCUCAUCCCGUUGGGUCCUGGGAGUCUCUUGCUUUCCUGGAUUCUGUGACAUUCUAGUGGCUACCCCAGUUCCCCCAUCUCCCACUGCUACACACCUCUGUUCAAUUUCCUGCCUCUCUAUACUUCUCCCCUGUCUCCCCUGAUACCUGAUCUGCCCCCCUUUUCCUUCCCUCUCUGUCUCCCUCCCAGGUUCCUCCCUCUCUCUACCUCCCAUGAUUAUUUUGUUCCCCGUUCUAAAUAGGACUGAAGCAUCCACACUUUGGUCUUCCUUGUUCUUGAGCUUCAUAUGGUCUGUGAGUUGUAUUAUGGGUAUUCCAAACUUUUGGGCUAAUAUCCACUUAUCAGUGAGUGCAAACCAUGUUUGUCCUUUUGUGGCUGGGUUACCUCACUCAGGAUGAUAUUUUCUAGUUCUGUCCAUUUGCCUAAGAAUUUCAUGAAGUCAUUGGGUUUUUUGUUUUGUUUUGUUUGAUUCGUUUUGUUGUUGUUUUUUAGGUUUUUUUUUUUUUUUUUUUUUGGUUUUUCAAGACAAGGUUUCUCUGUAUAGCUAUGGCUCUCCUGGAACUCACUUUGUAGACCAGGCUGGUCUCAAACUCAGAAAUUCGCCUGCCUCUGCCUCCUAAGUGCUGGGAUUAAAGGGGUGUGCCACCACACCCGGCAAAGUCAUUGUUUUUAAUAGCUGAGUAGUAUUCCAUUGUGUAAAUGUACCACAUUUUCUGUAUCUAUUUCUCUGUUGAAGUACAUCUGGUUUGUUUCCAGCUUCUCCCUAUUAUAAAUAUGGCUGCUAUGAACAUAGUGGAGCAUGUGUCCUUAUUACAUGUCAGAGCAUCUUCUGGGUAUAUGCCCAGGAGUGAUAUUAGUGGUUCCUCAGGUAGUACUAUGUCCAAUUUUCUCAAGAACUGCUGUACUGAUUUCCAGAGUGGUUGUACCAGCUUACAAUCCCACCAAAAAUGGAGGAGUAUUCCCCCUUUUCAACAUCCUUGCCAGUAUCUGUCCAACCCACUCAAGAUGUAUUUUGCAAGUGUGUGUGUGUGUGUGUGUGUGUGUGUGUGUGUGUGUGUGUGUGUCUGUGUCUGUGUCUGUGUCUGUGUUUCUGUGAUCUGUGUCUAUGUUUGCAAUUGUCCAGAGACCAAGGGGGUGUUGAAGCCCCUGGGGCUAAACUUCCACAUGUUUGUGGGCCAUUAUAUGGGUGCUGGGACUAAACUUUUUUGUUGUUGUUGUUGUUGUUAUUUUGAGAUAGGAUUUCUCUGUGUAGCCCUGGCUGUCCUGGAACUCACCCUAUAGACCAAGCUGGCCUCAAACUCAGAAAUCCAUCUGCUUCUGCCUCCCAAGUGCUAGGAUUAAAGGCUUGCACCACCACUGCCAGGCCAUAAGGGGACCAAACUUUUAAGUCCUCUGCAAAAGCAGCAGGUGUUAUUAACCCCUGAACUAUCUUUCCAACUGAUGUAAUGUGUUUUUUUCCAUGUUAGAAGUCUGUAUAAUGGAAAUUUUCUAAUCUGUUUAUAUUAACAGAGAUUAAAUUAUGGUGGCAUGGUAUUUACACACCAGGCAAAUGAGACAUUUUCAGAAAAAAAAAAAGUAGAACUUAAAUGUUCUCAUAUAUAAAUGUAAAUGCACCCCUCCCCUAUAAAGGGUAAACAUAACUAUGGUGUAAUCAGUGCCUGCUUUUUAAAAUUUGUUAGUUCAUUUAUUUAAUUUAUUUAUUGCAGUGCUGGGGAUUGAACCCAGGGCUAUAGACACACUAGGCAAGUGUACUACCAUUGAACUAUAUUCCCAACCAACUAUUUUUCUUCCAAGACCUGGCCUCACUGUGUAGCCCAAGGUGACUUAUUGUGACUCAUUUAUUCCACUGGAUUUCACAAGUUCACACUGAAUGUUUCUAAGAUAUAAUUCAUCAGAAGUUUCUUUAUUUUUCUUUUCUUUUCUUUUCUUUUCUUUUCUUUUCCUCUCCUAAGGACAAUGAAAUAAGAUUGAAUGCCUUGAAGUACAGCUACACUAUAUUUAACUUGUUUAUUUAGGACAAAAUUAUUACUGUUUUUUUGGACUAAGAUGUAGAUAAAUUUAUCUUUUAUAUUUCAUUGAUUUCAGAAAAUUCUUUGGAAUAUGCUCUUUAUUUUGCUAGUUAGAAAGAUAUGUAAUGGGACUUUUACUAUGUUAAGUCUUUAAGUAAUGGUUCUCUAGGUUCAUAUUAUUAGUUCAUUUGGAUUUGUAUUUAUUUUUAGGUAGGCAGAGAUAUCGUGUAGAGACUGGCUUUUGGUUUGGUUGCAGAAUGUUUGGGUAUCCAUUUACAGUAAUGAAUAUAAGUAGUGAUAUCAUUAUUGCUAUUUUUAAACAUCCAUUGGCCAUCUAGAAUGUGCUAAAGUCUGAAUAUAACAUGGUUAAUUAUGUCACUGUUCUUGCCCAUGUUGACUAACGGGAGAUAUUCCCAUUAUGAGAAAGCUAUCAAAUGCUUUGGUUUGAAGUUAAACAUUAAUUCACUCCUAAAUUACUGAAAGAUGUUUAGAAGGUUGCCUGUGAUUUCUGAGGAGCAUCUGGAAAUUUUCUUCUUAUAUAUCAACUUCCCACAUUAGUUUCUUAUUGUUUUUUAUGCUUAUUAUUAUAUAUUUUUUUUAGUUUUCCUCACGGAAGAAAAAGCCAACUCAGUACUAAAACGCUACCCAAGAGCCAAUGGGCUUUUUGAAGAAAUAAGACAGGGCAACAUUGAGCGUGAGUGCAGAGAAGAAAUCUGUACAUAUGAAGAAGCCAGAGAGGCUUUUGAAAAUCAUGAAAAAACUGUAAGUAUACUGGCAACAUAAAACAUGUUCACAGCAUUACUUACCAUUCCAUAUAUUCUGAAACCUACAUUCCCAAAGAACAUGAAUUGCUUCUAGCUAAAAGUUAAUUUGCUGAAGAAGUCGCCAUGUAACAGCUAAUAAAUAAUGUUCUGUAUAGGAGAAAACUACACUUACUUCCCUCUGUUUUGGUCUGUCUUUGAGGGCCAUGUUUCCACAGUGUUCUGCUUAGCUAACAGUUAUGGUGGCAAGGCAUCUGGUUCACAGAAGGCGUUGAUCUAUAAAGUAGGUGGUGUCUUUACCUCUCAGUGCUUAAUCAGAGAGAGAGGGUAGAAGGUAUGGGGAACAGUUAAUGCUUUGAUGUUUUAUUUCUCCUAGGCUGGGGUAUACAGCUCAGUGGUAGGAUGCCUCCGUCAUAUGCUUGAGACCCCAGGUUCCAAAUAUAGAAUCAAAAAGCAUUUCCUUUAGUUCUCUAUACUUUUGGUUUCUUCUUCCACAUUUCACAAGACUGAAUUAGUUCAGUUUACUCUGACUGCAGGCUAUUCAAAGAUAACAGGGUUGUGAAAGCAGAAGCAAGGAUGUAAAUUUUCUAAAUCUUCUAUACAGUUGUAAAUUACAACACCAGAGGUAGCAAUUGUGUAAAGAUACUUGCCUGCGCACC